rnacentral:ncRNA from 2 species
CACCACGUGAAGUCGGUCCGACCAAAAAAUUUGGUAUCAGCGUGUCCUCCCUGGCCGAGCGGCCCGGGUAACCCACUGAACCUCCUUCGUGCUAGGGAUUGGGGCUUGCAAUUGUUCCCCAUGAACGAGGAAUUCCCAGUAAGCGCGAGUCAUAAGCUCGCGUUGAUUACGUUCCUG